rnacentral:tRNA from 1 species
GCCCGGGUGGUGGAAUCGGUAGACACAAGGGAUUUAAAAUCCCUCGGCCUUUGGCUGUACGGGUUCAAGUCCCGUCCCGGGUACCA